ACCCGCACAAGCGGUGGAUGAUGUGGAUUAAUUCGAUGCAACGCGAAAACCUUACCUACCCUUGACAUGCCAGGAAUCCUGCAGAGAUGUGGGAGUGCUCGAAAGAGAACCUGGACACAGGUGCUGCAUGGCUGUCGUCAGCUCGUGUCGUGAGAUGUUGGGUUAAGUCCCGCAACGAGCGCAACCCUUGUCAUUAGUUGCCAUCAUUAAGUUGGGCACUCUAAUGAGACUGCCGGUGACAAACCGGAGGAAGGUGGGGAUGACGUCAAGUCCUCAUGGCCCUUAUGGGUAGGGCUUCACACGUCAUACAAUGGUCGGUACAAAGGGUUGCCAAGCCGCGAGGUGGAGCCAAUCCCAGAAAGCCGAUCGUAGUCCGGAUCGGAGUCUGCAACUCGACUCCGUGAAGUCGGAAUCGCUAGUAAUCGUGGAUCAGCAUGCCACGGUGAAUACGUUCCCGGGUCUU
rnacentral:rRNA from 1 species